rnacentral:rRNA from 1 species
UACGUAGGGUGCAAGCGUUAAUCGGAAUUACUGGGCGUAAAGCGUGCGCAGGCGGCUUUGCAAGACAGAUGUGAAAUCCCCGGGCUUAACCUGGGAACUGCAUUUGUGACUGCAUGGCUGGAGUGCGGCAGAGGGGGAUGGAAUUCCGCGUGUAGCAGUGAAAUGCGUAGAGAUCCGGAGGAACACCGCCGGCGCAGGCAGCGUCCUGGCCGCUUGCUGACACUGAGGCACGAAAGCUGGGGGAGCAAACAGG